rnacentral:lncRNA from 1 species
AUAUGAUAAGUGAUGACAACCUUAUUUAAAAUGUUACCUUGGUAUUUAUUUAGGUCUGAGGACGAGCAACCGAUGGAAUCAGAGACCAACAGUGUUGACAGAGCGGUCGCAAAUCUCAUGUUCAACGGAACCGCAUAUUGUGAAUGUUGAUCCAAUUAAGAGGUUGUUCAUGCCCGAAUUUGGUUAGCAAUGCAAUUUUGAGCUGAAAAUUAUAAGUAAUAAGUUAAAAAAAACCAAUUCCCUGUAAAUUAUUAAGCACUUAGUACCUGAAAAAUUAUAUGUAUUAUGUAAGUUUUGUUGAAGGAAUAGCUGUUUCCACCCAGCUCAAUUUUGAUUGUAAUGUACUCCAGUAAGUGAUUAUGUUUAUUAGUUGCUAAGUUAGGGACAAGAUUCUUAGGUGUGUAAGUGUAACACUUUGCUACUGUGCUAUGAGUGUUUAUGAGUGAAUUUAUUAACUAGCUAUUAGUGAUCCACUGAAUGUAAAUGAUUGAGUUUAUCAACUAACUGUUUGCAAACUUGGGUAAGAUCAUCAUUUUUGUUAAUAGUUUAUAUAUGCAUUUAGGAAACAAGAUAGAUGCCUGACUCUAAUA